GCAGUCAAAAAAUGUAAGAAAGCUUAAAGAAAAGGAUAAGCCACCUGAAACCUCACCUUUUGAUUUUGCUCACAUUCUGAGGUACUGGAAGUUAGGACUUGAUGAAUUUGUGGCAGAGGAAGACAGCUUCUUAAUAGCCCAGUAUGGAGACCAGUUGUGAAUGACAUUAAUUAAUGGCUCCCCUCUGUGAAUAACAAUCACCUUUCUGUGUAAAAAAAGAGAUACAGUGCUCAGUGCGGCAGCACAUAUGCUGGAGCUGGAACAAUGCAGAGAAGAUCAGCAUGGCCUCUGCACAAGGAUGACACAAGGAUGUCACAAGGAUGGCAGCAGUUCAUGAAGCAGUCGAUGUUUUUAGGACAUGGUCAGACACAGGAUCCUUCCCAAAUGAGACUGCACAAUGGACUUGUUGACUUGCGCAGUGAGAUGUUAAGCAGAUUACUUCCAUCUGAGUUGAGGUGGGCAUGAAGGUGGAAGCUACCACUGCAGA